rnacentral:ncRNA from 1 species
ACUUUCAAGGCAGGGUGUGAGUCCCUACCGGCGGUAAAGUCCGCAAGCCCGAAACGGGUUGAACCGGUGUAAUUCCGGUACCGACGGUUAAAGUCCGGAUGGGAGAAAGG